rnacentral:rRNA from 1 species
GUGCCAGCAGCCGCGGUAAUACGGGGGAUACAAGCGUUAUCCGGAAUUACUGGGCGUAAAGCGUAUGUAGGUGGUUUUAAUAUAUUUUUAUAUAAAAAAAACUUGAUAUUUGUUUUUAGUAAAAAAAUUAUUAAACUAGAGUCUGUUAGGGGUAAAAGGAAUUUUUUGAGGAGUAGUGAAAUGCAAAGAUACAAAAAAGAAGACCAAAAGCGAAAGCAUUUUACUAGGACAGUUUAUUUUACUGACACUGAGAUACGAAAGUUAAGGUAGCGAAUGGGAUUAGAUACCCCAGUAGUCUUAACUGUAAACGAUGGAUACUCGGAAUAAUAUAUAAAUAAUAUUUUAUUCCUUAGCUAACGCGUUAAGUAUCCCGCCUGAGUAGUACGCUCGCAAGAGUGAAACUUAAAGGAAUUGACGGGGGCUCGCACAAGCGGUGGAGCAUGUGGUUUAAUUCGAUGUAACGCGAAGAACCUUACCAGAGCUUGAAAUAUAGGUUUUUAAAAAUUUAAUAAAUUUUUAUUAAUAUAACCAUCUACAGGUGGUGCAUGGCUGUCGUCAGCUCGUGUCGUGAGAUGUUGGGUUAAGUCCCGCAACGAGCGUAUCCCUUAUUUAAAGUUAAAUAUCUUUAAAAACUGCCUAUAUUUUUUAUAUAAAAUAAGGAGGAAGGAAUGGAAAACGUCAAGUCCUCAUGCCCUUUAUGCUCUGGGCUAUACACGUGCUACAAUGGAUGAUACAAUAAAUUUAAUAUAAAGAAAAAUUUUUCUUUUUUUUAUUUGAAAAAAUAAAUAUAAAUAUACUUAAAUUCAUUCUUAGUUCGGAACAUAAAUUGCAAUUUAUUUAUGUGAAGCUGGAAUCGCUAGUAAUCGCCGGUCAGCCUUACGGCGGUGAAUAAGUCAUCGAGCCUUGUACACACCGCCCGUCACACCAUGGAAAUUAAUUAUUAUUAAAACUUCUGUUUAAGAAAAUAAAUAAGAAUUAGUAACUGGGGUGAAGUCGUAACAAGGUAACCGUA